rnacentral:rRNA from 1 species
UACGGGGGGAGCAAGCGUUGUUCGGAUUUACUGGGCGUAAAGGGCGCGUAGGCGGCCAGCACACGUCAGUUGUGAAAUCUCCGAGCUUAACUCGGAAAGGUCAACUGAUACUGUGCGGCUAGAGUGCAGAAGGGGCAACUGGAAUUCUUGGUGUAGCGGUGAAAUGCGUAGAUAUCGGAAGGAACAUCAGUGGCGAAAGCGACUUCCUGGACCAGUACCGACGUUCAGGCACGAAAGCGUGGGGAGCAAACAGG